rnacentral:pre_miRNA from 1 species
AGGGGAAAAUGCCUUUCUCCCAGUUUCCUGAUCUUUGUGUCUGGGAAUGGGGCUGUUUCCCCUCC